AACCCAUGAUGAGGGCACCUUCUUAAUAGAUCCUUGUAUCUCUCUCAUGCAUCAUAUAAUGUCUCUAAAUUGAUCUGGGUAAAGGAAGAAAUAUCAUUCCUUACCUU
rfam:Gossypium hirsutum cultivar TM-1 chromosome 24, whole genome shotgun sequence